rnacentral:rRNA from 1 species
AUACGUAGGUGGCGAGCGUUGUCCGGAUUUACUGGGCGUAAAGGGAGCGUAGGCGGAUUUUUAAGUGAGAUGUGAAAUACUCGGGCUUAACCUGAGUGCUGCAUUUCAAACUGGAAGUCUAGAGUGCAGGAGAGGAGAAGGGAAUUCCUAGUGUAGCGGUGAAAUGCGUAGAGAUUAGGAAGAACACCAGUGGCGAAGGCGCUUCUCUGGACUGUAACUGACGCUGGAGGCUACGAAAGCGGUGGGGAGAC